AUUACCUACGGGGCGCAGCAGUGGGGAAUAUUGCACAAUGGGGGAAACCCUGAUGCAGCGACGCCGCGUGAGUGAAGAAGUAUUUCGGCAUGUAAAGCUCUAUCAGCAGGGAAGAAAAUGACGGUACCUGAGUAAGAAGCCCCGGCUAACUACGUGCCAGCUGCCGCGGUAAUACGUAGGGGGCAAGCGUUAUCCGGAUUUACUGGGUGUAAAGGGAGCGUAGACGGCGA
rnacentral:rRNA from 1 species